UAUUUAAAUAGUUUAUUUUAAAAUUUUGACUUGUGGCGUCAAAGAUGUACUAUCUGUACUUUAAAUAA
rnacentral:tRNA from 1 species